CACGUAGUUAGCCGUGGCUUUCUGAUUAGGUACCGUCAUUUUCUUCCCUGCUGAUAGAGCUUUACAUACCGAGAUACUUCUUCACUCACGCGGCGUCGCUGCAUCAGGGUUUCCCCCAUUGUGCAAUAUUCCCCACUGCUGCCUCCCGUAGGAGUUUGGGCCGUGUCUCAGUCCCAAUGUGGCCGUCCGCCCUCUCAGGCCGGCUACCGAUCGUCGCUUUGGUGGGCCGUUACCCCGCCAACUGGCUAAUCGGACGCGGAUCCAUCGUAUGCCGAUAAAUCUUUUCACACCGUACCAUGCGGUACUGUGCGCUUAUGCGGUAUUAGCAGCUGUUUCCAACUGUUAUCCCCCUGCAUACGGCAGGUUAUCCACGCGUUACUCACCCGUCCGCCACUAACUUAACAAUCACUAGGUUUCAUGUUAAGCCCGUUCGACUUGCAUGUGUUAGGCACGCCGCCAGCGUUCAUCCUGAGCCAGGAUCAAACUCU
rnacentral:rRNA from 1 species